AGGGACGGUAUCUGAAGUUUUUGAACUUUUAUCUCUUAACUCUUAUAUUCUGAGCAGUUCAAGUCCAGUGAAUAACCUUAAAUGGAACAAAAAUAAGUGCCAAAAAUACAUUUUUUUUAGUUUAGGUUGCCAAAAACUGAAUACUGUAUAUUUUAUAUAAAACAGACCCUUUCAGGGAUUAAGAAAUUGGGGGAUUUUACAGCUUUUCUGCAGCAAUGGGUUGUUGAUUACUAAGAAACCAUCUGUCUGUACAAUGGCCGUGUUACAACACCCUCUGACUCACAUAGGAUAUCACUGCAGGAAGCACUACUGUGUAUUGCCGUCAUGAUGGUGAGAAAAAGACAAUUGACAAAGGAAGUCAGACUAGUUGUUUGAAGGUUCAUUCUACUGCAAGAUCAUGACCAGAACAAAGAUAUAGCCAAUGUGCGUACCUGUUUGUUGUUUAACCCCGCCAGUUGCCCUUAAAUGAUUAAUGCAGCUUCAUCCCUCCAUCCAUUUUCUUCUGCUAAUCUGAGGUCGGGUCCUGGUGACAGCAGGUCAAGCAGCUUUAGAUUUCUAAAAACAACUCUUCUGAGGUCAGCCUGUAACAAACUAAUUUUCCUUUAUUAUGUUGACAUUGUCCUACUUCAAUGAGUUUUCCCAAAAAUCUGAUGAAGUCGCUCUGAUUCAUUUUAAAUAUGUGUCCAUAUAACACAUAUCAAUUCAUUUUGCUGAGUAUUGGCAAUCAGGAGGAACCUGGUAGAGGGAAGCAGAGACAGGCCAACACACAAACUACUGUCAUACGGCCCAGGACCGCCGCACUUAAUGAUGAAUUACAAAAUCAUUGAUCUCUCUGUCUUUUUACAGGUGUUUCAUUAGGUAUAUUUGUUGUGACCCAGACUCCUGACGUUGUUGUCAUGGAGGAGUUUGGAAGAACGACAGUUAACUGGAUAACAAAAAAAAUCAAAGAGAAAUGAAGUUUGAAUCACGAGAGGAUUGAGGGAGAUACAGCUGCAAGGUGUCAGCGGAGGAAGUGGUACAGUCAUCACAGUUACGGCCUCAGAGAACGUAGAUGACAACACAGAUCACCCCAUAGCUGACGCUGUCCCUGCAAAUCAACCCACUUUUGCUCAAAGAGGAGAGGAAACCCAAGAAGAAGAGGAAAGAAGAAAGUGCAGCAGCAGGAGAAAGUAGAUGAAGUAAACCAUGAAAUACACUGAUAAAUACUGUUUUUCUUCUGACAUCUUACUGAUCAGUUUGGGAAUCUGAUGACAAGUGCAGUUUUUUUCAUGAGCAUUGAGACCCUAACCCUUCAAUAAACUGUGUUAUCAGAGGCCCACUGUUGAUGACCCCACAUAUUGACACCAAAUUAGUAGCUAUCAUCUACCAAUUCCCUGCAUGUGAGGCAUUCAGUAUGUUGUAGUGUCUACCGAUAGUCUGCGUGUGAGUUGUUUAGGGAAAAUCUGUUAAUUGUAGUGCCAACAGUCUGUAUAUGAGGUAUUUCGGAGACAUCUGUAAAUUGUAGUGUCUACUGAGAGUCUGCAUGUGAGGCGUUUAGGGGACAUCUGGCCUAGUCUAGGUUCACCACUGGAUGCCAUCAGUGAUAUCAUGUUGCUUUUGAAUCUCUUUUGUUAAAGCUCAUUUAAAGUUUGCCUGCCAGGAUUUUAACUGACAUCUGAAGAAGAAAGAACAGAAUUUGUGGUUUUGUGCACUUCUGCAAAAACUUCUCCGAAAUGUUUUUGUUUAACAUGUACAAUAACAUAUAUGUAUAUCCGUGCAGACACUGCAUGCCACACAGAAGUGCUCGGGGCUGCUAAAAGGCGAUUUCAGUCAUGGGUUUGAAGACAUCAGGAGAUUAUUUUGUGGUUGGGGUCUUCCUGUUGUUCUCUCUCGUCACAGUCCAAAGCAAAGCGCGCCGCCAUGUUUAGUAGACAUAAGAGAAAACCUGUACGUUUCAGAGUCUCUACAAGAAUGAUCUGCUUUGAGACAUAACAAUAAAACAACUUCAUUUAUUCUCUUUCCCAGAAACGAAGGUUUACAUAUUUUUAUGGCACAUUUAUCGUAUAAUUCAGCUGCUUCGCUCUCAUCAGUCUCGUUUCGAACAGCAGCAGGAAGCAUAAACAUAAACAUACAAUACGCACCAGUCUAACUUCAAAGUUGUUAAGUCUGCAACUAGCCAGUGAACCUAGUGAAGUGUUUAGCAGAUAAAACGAUAAUAAGAGAUCUUCAUUUACAUGGACUUAUAUAAGACAGAAAGUAUUGACAGAGAUUAUUACGGUUAAUUUCCGGCAUGGACACGUGUCAGCUCACCAGUCAGGUCGGAUAUGCCACCUCAUAGUUGAAACACAGAAAGAAGAAAACCCUGCCAUCAUUCACCAUUCAUUCAACUUCGAUGAAUAUUCUUUAACAUAAAGUGGAUAAAAGAUGGUGUGUGCGUGUGUGUGUGUGUGUGUGUGUGUGUGUGUGUGUGUGUGUGUGUGUGUGUGUGUGUGUGUGUGUGUGUGUGUGUGUGUGUGGGCACGUUGUGGGAGGGACUGUGAAGCUGUGAAGUGAUGAGUGUCAGUGGUCAGAGGUGAAGCAGUGUGAGAAGAUGAAGCUCCUGCUGAGCAGCCUGCUGCUGGCCUCUCUCUGUGCCAUCUCAUCUUGGACUGCUUCAUCUACAGACGUGUUAGUUGUGACCCAGAGUCCUGAUGUUUCUGUCCUGGAGGGAGACACUGUAAACAUCACCUGCUGCUGGAAAGGGACGUUUGAAAGUAUAAGAUUUAACUGGUGGAGAAAUCAAAAAGUUAUUAAGACUGACCUAUACAACUCAACACCACAGUCUGAAGAAUCAAAUUCCUGUUCAACUUUGACCUUUUCUAACAUCACAACAAAGGAUUCAGGGAAAUACACCUGCAUAGUGAAUAUGGAGAUACCAUCUUAUGUUCAGGUGAAAGGAAAUGGCACAAUCAUCACAGUUAGGACCAGAGAGAACAGAGGAGAUGACACAGAUGAUGGUGCUCCAUCAGGUACAUCAGAUAAAUAUGGAUCUGCGUUAAUCUACUGUCUGAGGUGUCUGCCCUUCCUUGUUCUUCUUGUGACCUUCUUCUACUUCAACAACAGAUGGACUAAGCCUCAACAACACAAAGCAGCUGCUCCUGAAAAUACACCCGCUGCAGUCCAAAGAGGAGAGAAAGUUCAGAAAGAAGAAGAAAGAGAUGAAGACUGGGGAGAAUACCCCUGUCUUCAAUUAUGAAAAUCUUGGAAACUCACGUUUUGUCUGACAACUGUAACCCUUUCCCGUUACUGUGUUUUGAAAAAUCCUCUAUAAAUAACGUCUAUUAUUACAACAUUAUCAACACACUGACUGUUGCACUGUUUAUUUUAAAUACAGUACUUAGUUUUUUUUGGGAGGGGGUUGAUGGACACCAAGACACCAAAACAUAGCUGAGAGUAGAGUGAAUAUUGGACUUAAAUGAAUCAGGUGGCAAGAAAACAACUCCCAAUAAAUAAGUCUGGAUUUUUAAAUCUGUUUUUUUAUGUUGUGUCUUUAGAAUUAAGUGAUGACCUGUCAUUGUUGUGUUUACAGCUUGUUCUGUUGGCACAAACUGGUCAAACAAAAAAACAAAGAAUGGACCCGCCUGGGUUGCACUUGUUGUUCAAUGCUUUGUGACUUUUCAAGUUAAAAGCAUUGAACAAGUGCGUCACAGCCAGGUUAAUUACUUUUAGGUAUCCCCUGGAAACAUUUCUGUUGCCAUCUGUGCUACUCACGGCACAUUUCUGUAUUUGCUUGUGUUGUGAGUAUGUGCAGCACACGUGUUGUAAAAAUGGAUGACGAUGUUUUCUGAUUAUGCUUGUUUUAUUUGCGUUCGUUUUCUGAAGUUGCAGUGCGUUGAGCUGUCAAUGCCUCCUUAGGCAUCCACUGGAAUAAAAUGUUAGGAUUCUAUCAGAUGUCUAUCAUUGUAACCUGAAGCAAAAUGUUGCCUCAGGUGCUCCAGCCACUCGACCACAAUACUAAUAAUCUUCCUCUAAGUCCUACCCACAACCUGUCUCCAAAUGCUGGUAACUUUCAAGACGCAACAUCUCAAUUUCAUGUCAGUUACAAUGUACUCCAACUGACUGGGAUGGAUCAUUUAACUAUCUUAUCUUUGAUGCACCACAUCAACCAAAGGCUCAUGUGGUGUAUUUAAAUAUCCGCAUGUCAGAUACAAACAGAGUAUCAGUUUCUCCUUUUUGUUGUUCAUUUCUAAUGAACACAUCCAAAAGUGUGAUCUUAGAACAUCUGCUAUUUUGCAGAUUUGUGAAAUACCACCCUGUGACUUCCCUCCUAUGUUGCAUUUUCAUUUUGGAGAUGUCAGAGAGUAUUGAGAGAUGGACUUCAUUGCGACACAGAGACAGUGUAUGGCAUGUGUCAAAAUACCCCUGCUUAUCUUGUUGGUAAACCCACUUCAGUAUUUCUGUGUCAUAGUAAAGUAAAAGGGCACUUCCGCAUUCAAACUCAUGAGAACAGAAAAGAGCGAAACAAUCUCAGCUACAGUUUCUUGCAGAGAAUCUAUCGCUGCCUGCUGCUGCAUCUAAAGGAAAAAGGAACUCAUGUUGUGGUUUCUCACACUUCUCUCAAACCGUGGAUAAAAGAUGAU